AACGCGAAGAACCUUACCUGGUCUUGACAUCCCUUUGACCGGCAAGUAAUGUUGCCUUUCCUUCGGGACAGAGGAGACAGGUGGUGCAUGGUUGUCGUCAGCUCGUGUCGUGUGAUGUUGGGUUAAGUCCCGCAACGAGCGCAACCCUUACCUUCAGUAACCAGCACGUAAUGGUGGGGACUCUGGAGGGACUGCCAGGGACAACCUGGAGGAAGGUGGGGAUGACGUCAAAUCAUCAUGCCCCUUAUGAUCAGGGCUACACACGUGCUACAAUGGCGUAAACAAAGAGAGGCGAGGCUGUGAAGCGGAGCAAAUCUCAAAAAUAACGUCUCAGUUCGGAUUGUAGUCUGCAACUCGACUACAUGAAGCUGGAAUCGCUAGUAAUCGCGGAUCAGAAUGCCGCGGUGAAUACGUUCCCGGGUCUUGUACACACCG
rnacentral:rRNA from 1 species